UCGCUCAGGCCUCAGGACAGUA
rnacentral:misc_RNA from 1 species